GCUUAUGGCCAUACCAGCCAAAGAACGCCUGCUCUCGUCUGAUCUCGGAAGCUAAGAAGGCUUGGGCCUGGUUAGUACUUGGAUGGGAGACCUCCUCGGAAUACCAGGUGUUGUAAGCU
ensembl:rRNA 5S_rRNA 5S ribosomal RNA